rnacentral:rRNA from 1 species
CCUACGGGAGGCAGCAGUGGGGAAUAUUGGACAAUGGGCGCAAGCCUGAUCCAGCAAUACCGCGUGUGUGAAGAAGGCCUGAGGGUUGUAAAGCACUUUCAAUAGAGACGAAAAGCUUAGGGUUAAUAACCCUGAGUCUUGACUUAACCUAUAGAAGAAGCACCGGCUAACUCCGUGCCAGCAGCCGCGGUAAU